rnacentral:rRNA from 1 species
UCAAGAAACUUCCACAAUGGGCGAAAGCCUGAUGGAGCGACGUCGCGUGAUGGACGAAGUGCUUCGGCACGUAAACAUCUUUUUAUGUGGGAUGAAAUUAUUGACAGUACCACAUGAAUAAGGGGCUCCUAACUCUGUGCCAGCAGGAGCGGUAAUACAGAGGCCCCAAGCGUUAUCCGGAAUCACUGGGCGUAAAGGGUGUCGAGGCGGUUGUAUUAGUCGUUCGUAAAAUCUACGAGCUUAACUUGUAGGCGGCGAACGAAACGGUACGACUUGAGGUUUGGAGAGGUGCGUGGAACUCACGGUGUAGGGGUGAAAUCCGUUGAUAUCGUGGGGAACACCAAAGGCGAAGGCAGCGCACUGGCCAAAAUCUGACGCUCACACACGAAAGCUAGGGUAGCGAAAAGGAUUAGAUACCCCCGUAGUCCCUGAGCGGGCUGGCAAGGCGCAU